rnacentral:rRNA from 1 species
GUUGAACGCUGGCGGCAGGCUUAACACAUGCAAGUCGAGCGGAGAUGAGGUGCUUGCACCUUAUCUUAGCGGCGGACGGGUGAGUAAUGCUUAGGAAUCUGCCUAUUAGUGGGGGACAACAUUCCGAAAGGAAUGCUAAUACCGCAUACGCCCUACGGGGGAAAGCAGGGGAUCUUCGGACCUUGCGCUAAUAGAUGAGCCUAAGUCGGAUUAGCUAGUUGGUGGGGUAAAGGCCUACCAAGGCGACGAUCUGUAGCGGGUCUGAGAGGAUGAUCCGCGACACUGGGACUGAGACACGGCCCAGACUCCUACGGGAGGCAGCAGUGGGGAAUAUUGGACAAUGGGCGGAAGCUUGAUCCAGCCAUGCCGCGUGUGUGAAGAAGGCCUUUUGGUUGUAAAGCACUUUAAGCGAGGAGGAGGCUACCUGGAUUAAUACUCUAGGAUAGUGGACGUUACUCGCAGAAUAAGCACCGGCUAACUCUGUGCCAGCAGCCGCCGUAACAC